rnacentral:ncRNA from 1 species
CUGAGUGAUUCUGCCAGUCUUGCCUAAAAGAUUAAGCCAUGCAAGUCUUAAUACACACGGCCGGUACAGUGAAAUUGCGAAGGGCUCAUUAAAUGAGUUAUGGUUCCUUUUGAUUGCUCCAACGUUACUUGGAUGACUGCAGCAAUUAUAGAUCUAAUACUUGCCAACAAGUGCUGACCACAGAUGCGUGCAUUUAUUCAGACCCAAAACCCAUGCAGGGUACUCUCGGACCCCACAGAUGCUUUUGGUGACUCUAGUGUAUAACCUCGACUGGUGACGCGCUGACAUCUAAUUUGAAUGUCUGCCCUAUCAACUUUCAAUGGUACUUUCUGUGCAUACCAUGGUGACCACGUGUAACGGGGAAUCAGGGUUCGAUUCCAGGGAGAAGAGCCUAAGCUACCACAUCCAAGGAAGGCACCAGAAAAUGAUCCACUCCCGACUCGGGGAGGUAGUGAUGAAAAAUAACAAUGUAGGUCUCUUUCGAGGCCCUUCAAUUGGAAAGAGUACACUUUAAAAACCUUUUAAUGAGCAUCCAUUACUGAUGUUUAGAAG